AAUUACACACUCUGUUAGUAUCUAUAUUUUAAUCCUUGAAGAGGAUAUUAAAUUCUUCGAAGUCUAACAAAAAAAAUUUUAUCAUUUUGAAAAAUAUAAAGUUUGGUCAGUAAUCCGGCAUCUCUUUAAACGCGCAAUUUUUCAUAAUAUUUUUUAAUACACGGAACAUCAAAAAGUCACUUUGUACAUAUCCAAAACUAUACACUUGUGGCUCCUCUAAACAGAACACGGCAACGCUUGAUAAAGCGACGUGGUAAUCAAUCAGCUUACAACUUUUCCAUAAUAACAAAAGAUUGGCUACCGCAUCAUUUCUUACCAUGCAGCAAGUGUUAUCGCGUCCUGUCUACAGAAGUCAAUAAGGCUUACAACUUGUAUUGUGUACAAAAAAGAUGAAAUUUUUGAUGAAGUAAUACUUUAUCUUAACAUUUACCAUUAUUAUAUUUCAGUACAACAUGGAAACAAUUGGCGGUAGACAAAAGGGAACUUUCAUUUAUGUUUAUGAUGGAUAUACAUAUAAUAUCGAUAAGCGGCUAAACAACACAUAUCGCUGUUCAAGUCGUCGUUCAACAGGAUGUCCCGGUGUUGCAAAAAUAAUUGAUGGGCAAGUGCAUGUGCAAACUCUACAUCAACAUCCACCAGAUACCAAAAAGUUGGAAAAAUCUAAAAUGCGAAAUGAAAUGUUACGUUUAUCACGAGAAUCGCUUCUGCCACUGAAGGAAAUUUUUGAUAACGUUUGUCGAACGGAUCCAGAAGUAGCUAUACAUAUAUCGUAUAGUUCUAUGAAAAGUAUAAUGACUCGAGAACGAACUAAACAAAGACCUCCUAUACCACACACUUUUCAAGCCUUGGCUACUGAUUUAAUUAAAUACGAGUGGAUUAAAGAUUUUUAUAAAGGAAGUGUAGUUGCACAAGAUGGUAAUACAGCUAUUAUAUUUUCAAGUGAAAAACUUAUUGAAAUAAUUCAAGAAGCUCAGGAAAUUUUUGUUGAUGGAACAUUUUCAGUUACUCUCCGUCAUCCUCGAAUGGAUCAACUAUAUACUAUUCACACUCGUUAUAUGAAUAAAGCAGUUGGAACUGUGUUUUGCUUAUGUGAAGCACGUACUAGUGCAUUAUAUGAAUCAAUAUGGUUAAAAGUAUUAGAACUAGCUCCAGGAAUGAAAAAUAAUGUUAAAUUUAUCAUGAGUGAUUACGAAGCAGCAGCUAUAAAAGUUUUAGAAAAACUUUUUCCAAAUGCAGAUAUUCACGGGUGUUGGUUUCAUUAUAAUCAAGCAGUACUACGUAAAUGGAAUUACUUGGGUUUAACAAAUAUUUCAAAUACCCUGUUGUCCAUAACAAUGACGCUUCCAUUACUGCCACAAGAAUAUUUCAUGCCAGCAUUAAGGAUACUACAUAAUUACUGCGACGCUACACAUUUCAAAUAUGAAGAAUUAUUGCAAUUUCUAACAUAUAUUGAGAAAACUUGAUUGCCUAAGGCAUCAAAAGUUAGCGUAUAUAACUGUCCUGCAAGAACAAACAAUUUAGUAGAAAAUUUCCAUAGUACAAUAAGACGAAAAUUGGGUCUUCAUCAAAAUUUAUGGCUUUUUUUAGAUAAAUUAACAAAGUUAAUUAUGGAUCAAGAAAUUCAUUUUAGACGUCUACAAAAUAAUGAGAAUUUAAUGAUUGUGCAGCAACGCAAAAAUAAAGAGCGUAAUUUAAAUAUUUUUCAAGCGCAAACAGAUCUAAUUACAGGAAGGUUGCCCCUUGAACAAUUUUUACGAAUGUUUACCGGAAUAUAUAAAACUUCUUAUUAUCAAGAACAUAUAAAUAUGCAAGAGAAAGAAAAUGUAGCAAACAUCUUAUCUUUGGAAAAUGAAAACGAAGAGAAUUAUGAAAAGGAAACACAAAUUACUACAAAUCAAGAUAUUCCAACAAUUACAUGUGAACCGGACAUUCAACCUCAAGUUGUACUAACAAGACUCAAACGUAAAGAUUAUGAAAAAUAUAUUGAAAAUGAUCGGCAACCAUUAAAUUUUAUUGAAAAUACUAUUUCGUCAAAUAUUACACGAAAAAGAUGCAGAAGAAAAGUGCACAAAUGUUGUUGAAAAAAUAUCAAUAUCAUAAGAUCUCAGUAUUUUAGCAUCAAUUCUGUACAUUGAUUCUAAUGGAGACUGACAUUUUUUUAAAUAAUAUUUAAUUAAAGUAUUAAUUGAUAAUCAUUUUAGAUUUCAUUAUUUUGGAUAUUAAUUUUAUAUGAGAUCUCAUUGGAAUCAAUCUACAGAAUUACAUAAAAUAUGACUUGUUUCAUGAGGUGAGAUUUUCCGGAAAGAGGCGAAGAAAAUGAAAGAAUAAUAAAGUCUGGUAUAGAUGCAUUAUGCAAAUCAUAACAUAGAUGCAUUGAUGCUGUAUCGAAUCAAGUUUUUAUACCGUGCAGUCACAUUUGUUGUUGUGAAGAUUGUGCUAAUUAUAUUAUGAGAGAGAACAAUAAUGUUAAGAAAUGUCCAAUCUGCAAAGCAGAAAUUUCAUCUAUCUACAAAGUAUAUACAGCAUAAAUGAGUUUGUAUUUUCUUCUAAAUAUAAGAACAUCUAAGAAUGUUUGCAACUUUCUUAAUACGCGUAAUCUGAGAUACUUGUCAAUUAUACGCUUUGAAAUAUAUAUGGCUAGACUACCUUGCAUAUUUUAAUCUUUACGCAUAUAGUGCGCAAUACUUAAGAUACAUAAAACAUUAUUCUAUUGAAAAUUAAUAGUAUAUAUACUUAUAUAUAUAUAUAUAUAUAUAUAUAUAUAUAUAUAUAUAUAUAUAUAUAUACACUAGUCUAACUACACAAAAAGUUUAUUUUCUUCUUUUAAAUAUAUAUAAACGUUAUUAACUGUUGACAGAGUUAUAUUUUAUGUUUCAUUUUAAACAAAGAAGGGAAUAGAGUUCUGCUUUUCAGAUGUGAAGACUGAUUAGAAAAUAAGUUUUAUUUUAUUUCAUUCUCGUAUUAUAGAUAUAUGUAGAAUUAAGGUUAACUCUGUUGCUAAUUGUGAUUGUGCAAUAAGAGCUUUAAUUAUUUUGUUGAUGAAUAAAUUACUGAGAUUUUGGCUUUCCUUGUAUAAUUCUAGUAUUGAAUAAAAAUGUAAGUUUGAUAAUCUAA